rnacentral:lncRNA from 1 species
UUAAUCUUCAGGAACAAAUAUAAAAUUUAGAUGUUCGAUGUUAGUAUUUUCUAUAAUCUAAAUCUCAAGUCAUAAGCUGUAAAGGAGGAUGCUUUAGAGAAGAUCUGUACUAGCAAAAUCUUAGGGGAUCCAAGACCAUGUUGCACUCAUUCCCACUUGGUAAGGCUUCACUUGUGACAUCCAUACCAAAAUCCUUUUCCACUAUUUUUAUUGUAAAUGUGCUUUUCUUGGAUUGUUUCAAUUUCCUUCACACAUCUCACUGGAGCUUUACUAGAAGAACAAAUUUGAUAUAUUGGUUCCUUAUCUUGUUAACAAGAUAUCAGGUUACAGGUUUGAGAAGCAU